GCUGCCAGAGGGGACUGCCGGGUGACCCUGGAAAUCCAGAGUGGGUGGGGCCAGUCUGACCGUUUCUAGGCGACCCACUCUUGGUUUCCAGGGUUGCCCUGGAAACCACAGAUGGGGAGG
rnacentral:precursor_RNA from 1 species